GGUCGGACCAAUAUCUACAAAAAAAAGUCCCGUGACUAUCGACCCACCGGGACAUCCCCGGCUCAUCCCGCAGCGCGAGCUUGAGAGGAGUGGACAGAGGGGGAGAGAGUGAGCUAUAGGCCAUCAGGAGAGAGUGAGAGGGGGAGAGCAAGAGCGAAGGAGCGAGAGCAGCAGAGCCAUGAAGACUGUGCCUUUGUGCUAGUGUAAAGCUGGAGAGACCACAUUUGUCACAUGCGCUGUACAUCCAGGCCUGCAUCGCAUCAGCUCCACUGUGGUGGAGGAGACCUUCAGACCUGCAGACUAAACACGUGGAGGACGUUCCAACAGGAGUCCCAGCAGCCUGUGAGCUUCACACCCGUCCAGAGGUUAGCAGAGGCCUUUAUCACAAGAGGCUCACAGUGAAUUCAUUUUCAGGGGUACGGGUUAGGGGGCGGCUUGCUCGAGGAGGCCCACGACUGUGGACAUUGGGGGUACGAACCCAGAGCGUUGGGCCUGGGGGUCCAAGGCUAGGCACCACAGCACUAGCCUGGCCUCCUGCACUCCUAUACGGAUGACAAGGCACUCGCACUUAUUGUUUGUUGUAGCCACAGAGAGACAUAUCAAUCAUAUGUAACAGCUGUAACAGCAAAACAAUAACAAUCAGCGUCAGUACCAUCCUUCUCCACGAGGUGGCACCAGUAGACAGCGUUUGGCUCACUGCACUUUCUCUCUGACAUCAACCCUCGACAGUCAACUUUGCUCUAAGCAUGAAUUUCAGGAUUCAAACUGGACAUUACUUGAAAACUGUAAUAUCCAGUUGAUCCGCCUAUGAGCAGUUUCAAUACAAAUCGGUGUUUUAAUGAAAUAAAUUGUAAGUUAUGUUUCUUUAUUGGUGAAAUGUGCAGCAUUUUCAAUUGUAGUAAUUCAGGUAAAGCAAAAUUGUGACAUUUUCUCUGGAAUACAUUGCAUUCUAGUGGUGCACAGUUGUACCUUAUUUUACAAUUUAUAGCUUAGUAUUGCAUAUUUCUACCCAUUAUGCAAGAAACUGUUGGUACCGUGCACAUGACGUUGAUAUGACCUACACCUUAUAUUUAUCAACAAGUUAGGAAUACAGAUUCACUCAAGCCCACUUAAACGUGAUUGUCUUUAUUAUUCAUAUUGUGAUCAAAAACAAUAAGAAUGUGUUUCAAAAAACACUUUUUUUUUUAAAGAGUCCUCUCUUAGUUUGGAAGAUUGGGAAGCUAAGAUGGUCCUCAAUUUGAUCAAGAACACAGACGACAUCAAAGUUACACCUUGAUGUCAAAAUACAAAAUCACAUUAAGCAUUAUAAGAAUAUAAAAAAACAGCAAUCGUUAAAAAAAAUUCUAUUUACACAGGGGAACGGAAUUAUUAAAUAAAAAGUAAUGCAUUAUGGGUAAUUAUGAGGUGAUACAGAGCGAAAGUAUCUUAGAGAGGUUUUCCGCAGGUCUCACUUUGUCGAUACAUAAAUAGUUUGUUAAAGUUAUGUUGGAGUACAGAUUCGUUGAAGUUCAGAAAAAUGUUCUCAUAUUCAUCAAUGAUUUCCUUCGUUGUUGAGGUUGUUGUGAAAGUCCCGCCCUCACUCUGACCGCUAUACCCAUGUGACUGAAGUCCCGCCCUCGCUCUCACCGCUAUACCCAUGUGACUGAAGUCCCGCCCUCACUCUCACCGCUAUACCCAUGUGACUGAAGUCCCGCCCUCACUCUGACCGCUAUAGCCAUGUGACUGAAGUCCCGCCCUCACUCUCACCGCUAUACCCAUGUGACUGAAGUCCCGCCCUCACUCUGACCGCUAUACCCAUGUGAUUGAAGUCCCGCCCUCGCUCCCUCCUCUCCUGUUCCAAGAGAGGAGUAGUGG
ensembl:lncRNA